rnacentral:rRNA from 1 species
UGCCAGCAGCCGCGGUAAGACAGAGGGUGCAAGCGUUAAUCGGAAUUACUGGGCGUAAAGCGCACGUAGGCGGUUUGUUAAGUUAGAUGUGAAAUCCCUGGGCUUAACCUAGGCAUUGCAUUUAAAACUGGCGAACUAGAGUAUGGUAGAGGGAAGUGGAAUUUCCGGUGUAGCAGUGAAAUGCACAGAGAUCGGAAGGAACACCAGUGGCGAAGGCGGCUUUCUGGACCAAUACUGACGCUGAGGUGCGAAAGCGUGGGGAGCAAACAGGAUUAGAUA